AAUAAACGGAAGGAACACUGGGGACCAGGCCACCUUGGGGAGCUGCAGCAAUGGCUGGAGAGUGACCUUCCAGAGGCAUCAUGGAUAUCCGUGGUGAUGGGGGCAGCAUAUGGUCUUCACAGGUGAGGUACACCCAUUGCAAUGCAACUUUGCAGAAAUCCCUUUCAAGAGAUCAAGUCUAUUUCCCACCCCUUGAAUCUGGACAGACUUUUGACUUACUUUGGCUAAUACGAUGCAGCAAAAGCAAUCCUGUGCCAGUUGAUCAAGAGGCCCAGCAGCUCCCACUGCCUUGGACCCCUGUCCUGCUGUCAUAUAAACAAAUAUGGGCUAGCCUGCUACAGGCUGAGAGACCAUGUGAAGCAGAACCAAGUUGUUCCAGUUGAAGCCAUCCAGAUCAUCCUAUAGCCAGCUGACCCCAAAACAUGUGACAGACCCCAGCCCAGAUCAGCAGAUCUGCCUAUCCAAUCUGCAGCUGACCUGAGACACAUGAGUGAGCCCAGCUAAGACUACAAGAACCAUCCAGCUGAUCUGAAAAUUCAUUAAUCAAAUCAAUGCUUAUUGUUGUUAGCUGUAUUGCUUUUCUAUUGCUUUGUAACAAAUUACCACAAAUUUAGUGGCUUAAAACAACACCCAUUUAUUAGCUCACAGUUCUGUAAGUUAGAAAUCUGGAUGGGUUCAGUGGGGUUAGAGUCUCCUUAGAGUCUCACAACCAGUAUUUAGCUUCACUGCUGAGCCAUGUAGUGUACUAUAUUAAUAUUUCCUUUCUUAUGCAACUUGGAGUUGAUAGCUGCUGGCUUUUUUUAUUCACUUAUUUUUAUUGAUACAUAAUAUUUGCAAUUUAUGGGGUACAUGUGAUAUUUUGAUUCCGGCACACAAGGUGUAAUAAUCAAGUCAGGGUGUUUAGAAUAUCCAUCACCUUGAACAUGUAUUAUUUCCUUGUGUUGGGAGCAUUUCAAAUCUAGCUAUUUUGACAUAUAUGGCUGUUAACUAUAGUCAUUCCACUGUGCUAUUGAAUACUAGAACAUAUUCCUUCUCUCUAACUGCAGGUUUGUACCCAUUAAUAAACCUUUCUUCAUCCUUCCACCCCCACUUUCCCAGCCUCUGGCAACUAAUAUAUACAUAAUAUCUAUCUAUUCCCUUGCUGGGUAGGGGAGGGACAGUUGCUGUGUGGGUUAGAAAAAUAGGCCAGGGAGCGGGUGGGAGAUCUCACAGCUCUUUCUACAAACUCUCGUCUAAAUCCAACAUCUAAAUCCAACACAUAAACACCCUAUUAUUUCUCUCAUAAAAGCAAAACAAAACCAAAUCCAAAAAGCCUCACUCCUACUCCACCUCCCGCCUUCUGAUCUCAUGUCUCCCUUCCAUUUGUAGCAAAACUUUUUGGAAGACCUUUCUUCUGUCCAAUAUGGCAGCCCCUAGCUACAUGUGGCUCUCGAGCACUUGCAGUGUAGCCAGCAAAAUCGAGGUGCAUUGUAAGGGUAAAAUAUACACCACAUUUCAAAGACAUCAUAUGAAAAACAAUGCAAACUAUCUCAUUAAUAAUUUUAUAUCAAUUACAUAUGGAA
rnacentral:lncRNA from 1 species